CUACGGGUCGCACCAGCGGGGAAUAUUGCACAAUGGGGGAAACCCUGAUGCAGCAACGCCGCGUGGAGGAUGACGCAUUUCGGUGUGUAAACUCCUUUUAUCAGAGAAGAAAAUGACGGUAUCUGAUGAAUAAGCUCCGGCUAACUCCGUGCCAGCAGCCGCGGUAAUACGGAGGGAGCAAGCGUUAUUCGGAAUCACUGGGCGUAAAGGACGCGUAGGCGGGUUUUUAAGUCAGGUGUGAAAUCCUAUGGCUCAACCAUAGAACUGCACUUGAAACUGGGGACCUAGAGUAUGGAAGGGGCAGGUGGAAUUAGUGGUGUAGGGGUAAAAUCCGUAGAUAUCACUAGGAAUACCGAAAGCGAAGGCGACCUGCUGGGACAUUACUGACGCUGAGGCGUGAAAGCGUGGGGAGCAAACAGGAUUAGAUACCCUCGUAGUC
rnacentral:rRNA from 1 species